rnacentral:rRNA from 1 species
UACAGAGGGUGCAAGCGUUGUUCGGAAUUAUUGGGCGUAAAGCGCGUGUAGGCGGCUUAGCAAGUCGGGCGUGAAAGCCCUCGGCUCAACCGAGGAAGUGCACCCGAAACUGCUGAGCUUGAGUGCCGGAGAGGAUGGCGGAAUUCCCCAAGUAGAGGUGAAAUUCGUAGAUAUGGGGAGGAACACCGGUGGCGAGGGCGGCCAUCUGGACGGUAACUGACGCUGAGACGCGAAAGCGUGGGUAGCAAACAGG